rnacentral:misc_RNA from 1 species
AGGUGAUAGAGGCUCAAGAAGACAUGCCUAUUGCCGGAGUGGUGACAUUGUAUUCAUCCCUUUUGACAUUUUCUCUUCAUGUCCACCCUGAUCGCCUUGAUUAUGUAGAUCAGAUUCUGGGUGCAUGUGUACAGAAACUUUCUGGAAAAGGAAAGCUCAAAGACAACAAAGCAACAAAACAGAUAGUGGCCCUACUAAGUGCUCCUCUGGAGAAGUAUAAGGAUAUAGAUACUGCGCUAAAGCUGUCAAAUUAUCCUCGUCUUAUGGAGAAUCUUGACGAUUCAACUAGUAAAGAGAUGGCUAAUGUUUUAGUACAAAAUAUUUUGAAAAAUAAGACUUGCAUUUCAACUGCUGAAAAGGUUGAGGCACUUUUUGAGUUAAUGAAAGCACUAAUUCGAGAUUUGGAUGAGGG